rnacentral:rRNA from 1 species
UACGUAGGUGGCAAGCGUUGUCCGGAUUUAUUGGGUUUAAAGGGUGCGUAGGCGGCCUUGUAAGUCAGUGCUGAAAUAUCCCGGCUUAACCGGGAGGGUGGCAUUGAUACUGCAGGGCUUGAGUAAAGUUGAGGUUGGCGGAAUUGACGGUGUAGCGGUGAAAUGCUUAGAUAUCGUCAAGAACACCGAUAGUGAAGACAGCUAACUA